rnacentral:rRNA from 1 species
GAUGAACGCUGGCGGCGUGCUUAACACAUGCAAGUCGAACGAUUAAAGCCCCUUCGGGGGUGUAUAGAGUGGCGAACGGGUGAGUAACACGUGGGCAACCUGCCCUGCGCUUCGGGAUAACUCAGGGAAACCUGAGCUAAUACCGGAUACUCCUUGAGGAUCGCAUGGUCUUCUCGGGAAAGUUCCGGCGGCGCAGGAUGGGCCCGCGGCCCAUUAGCUUGUUGGUGAGGUAACGGCUCACCAAGGCGACGAUGGGUAGCCGAGCUGAGAGGGUGAUAGGCCACACUGGGACUGAGACACGGCCCAGAGUCCUACGGGAGGCAGCAGUAGGGAAUCUUCCACAAUGGACGAAAGUCUGAUGGAGCAACGCCGCGUGUGUGAUGAAGGCUUUCGGGUCGAAAAGCACUGUUGUAUGGGAAGAAAUGCUAGGCUAGGAAAUGAGCUUAGUUUGACGGUACCAUACCAGAAAGGGACGGCUAAAUACGUGCCAGCCGCCGCAGUAA